rnacentral:tRNA from 1 species
GGAGACGUGGCUCAGUGGUUAAGAGCACUUGUUGCUCUUUCAGAAGACCUGGGUUUGACUCCCAGCACCCUCA